rnacentral:rRNA from 1 species
GACGAACGCUGGCGGCGUGCCUAAUACAUGCAAGUCGAGCGAAGUUUUUCUGGUGCUUGCACUAGAAAAACUUAGCGGCGAACGGGUGAGUAACACGUAAAGAACCUGCCUCAUAGACUGGGACAACUAUUGGAAACGAUAGCUAAUACCGGAUAACAGUAUUUCUCGCAUGAGAGAUAUUUAAAAGUUGGUUAUGCUAACACUAUGAGAUGGCUUUGCGGUGCAUUAGCUAGUUGGUGGGGGAAAGGCCCACCAAGGCGACGAUGCAUAGCCGACCUGAGAGGGUGAUAGGCAAAACUGGAACUGAGAAACGGCCCAAACUCCUACGGGAGGCAGCAGUAGGGAAUCUUCCGCAAUGGGCGAAAGCCUGACGGAGCAACGCCGCGUGAGUGAAGAAGGAUUUCGGUUCGUAAAGCUCUGUUGUUAGGGAAGAAUGGAUAUGUAGUAACUAUACAUGUAAGAGACGGUACCUAACCAGAAAGCCACGGCUAACUACGU